AGCGCCGGUAAGGUGAUAUGAACCGUUAUAACCGGCGAUACCCGAAUGGGGAAACCCAGUGUGACUCGUCACACUAUCAUUAACUGAAUCCAUAGGUUAAUGAGGCGAACCGGGGGAACUGAAACAUCUAAGUACCCCGAGGAAAAGAAAUCAACCGAGAUUCCCCCAGUAGCGGCGAGCGAACGGGGAGGAGCCCAGAGCCUGAAUCAGCAUGUGUGUUAGUGGAAGCGUCUGGAAAGGCGCGCGAUACAGGGUGACAGCCCCGUACACAAAAGCGCAUGUGCUGUGAGCUCGAUGAGUAGGGCGGGACACGUGGUAUCCUGUCUGAAUAUGGGGGGACCAUCCUCCAAGGCUAAAUACUCCUGACUGACCGAUAGUGAACCAGUACCGUGAGGGAAAGGCGAAAAGAACCCCGGCGAGGGGAGUGAAAAAGAACCUGAAACCGUGUACGUACAAGCAGUGGGAGCACCCUUUGGGUGUGACUGCGUACCUUUUGUAUAAUGGGUCAGCGACUUAUAUUCUGUAGCAAGGUUAACCGAAUAGGGGAGCCGGAGGGAAACCGAGUCUUAAUUGGGCGUUAAGUUGCAGGGUAUAGACCCGAAACCCGGUGAUCUAGCCAUGGGCAGGUUGAAGGUUGGGUAACACUAACUGGAGGACCGAACCGACUAAUGUUGAAAAAUUAGCGGAUGACCUGUGGCUGGGGGUGAAAGGCCAAUCAAACCGGGAGAUAGCUGGUUCUCCCCGAAAGCUAUUUAGGUAGCGCCUCGUGAAUUCAUCUCCGGGGGUAGAGCACUGUUUCGGCUAGGGGGCCAUCCCGGCUUACCAACCCGAUGCAAACUGCGAAUACCGGAGAAUGUUAUCACGGGAGACACACGGCGGGUGCUAACGUCCGUCGUGAAGAGGGAAACAACCCAGACCGCCAGCUAAGGUCCCAAAGUCAUGGUUAAGUGGGAAACGAUGUGGGAAGGCCCAGACAGCCAGGAUGUUGGCUUAGAAGCAGCCAUCAUUUAAAGAAAGCGUAAUAGCUCACUGGUCGAGUCGGCCUGCGCGGAAGAUGUAACGGGGCUAAACCAUGCACCGAAGCUGCGGCAGCGACACUGUGUGUUGUUGGGUAGGGGAGCGUUCUGUAAGCCUGUGAAGGUGUGUCGUGAGGCAUGCUGGAGGUAUCAGAAGUGCGAAUGCUGACAUAAGUAACGAUAAAGCGGGUGAAAAGCCCGCUCGCCGGAAGACCAAGGGUUCCUGUCCAACGUUAAUCGGGGCAGGGUGAGUCGACCCCUAAGGCGAGGCCGAAAGGCGUAGUCGAUGGGAAACGGGUUAAUAUUCCCGUACUUGGUGUUACUGCGAAGGGGGGACGGAGAAGGCUAUGUUGGCCGGGCGACGGUUGUCCCGGUUUAAGCGUGUAGGUGUGUGUUCCAGGUAAAUCCGGUUCACUUUAACACUGAGGCGUGACGACGAGGCACUACGGUGCUGAAGCAACAAAUGCCCUGCUUCCAGGAAAAGCCUCUAAGCAUCAGGUAACAUCAAAUCGUACCCCAAACCGACACAGGUGGUCAGGUAGAGAAUACCAAGGCGCUUGAGAGAACUCGGGUGAAGGAACUAGGCAAAAUGGUGCCGUAACUUCGGGAGAAGGCACGCUGACACGUAGGUGAAGUGAUUUACUCAUGGAGCUGAAGUCAGUCGAAGAUACCAGCUGGCUGCAACUGUUUAUUAAAAACACAGCACUGUGCAAACACGAAAGUGGACGUAUACGGUGUGACGCCUGCCCGGUGCCGGAAGGUUAAUUGAUGGGGUCAGCGCAAGCGAAGCUCCUGAUCGAAGCCCCGGUAAACGGCGGCCGUAACUAUAACGGUCCUAAGGUAGCGAAAUUCCUUGUCGGGUAAGUUCCGACCUGCACGAAUGGCGUAAUGAUGGCCAGGCUGUCUCCACCCGAGACUCAGUGAAAUUGAACUCGCUGUGAAGAUGCAGUGUACCCGCGGCAAGACGGAAAGACCCCGUGAACCUUUACUAUAGCUUGACACUGAACAUUGAGCCUUGAUGUGUAGGAUAGGUGGGAGGCUUUGAAGUGUGGACGCCAGUCUGCAUGGAGCCGACCUUGAAAUACCACCCUUUAAUGUUUGAUGUUCUAACGUGGACCCGUUACCCGGGUUGCGGACAGUGUCUGGUGGGUAGUUUGACUGGGGCGGUCUCCUCCUAAAGAGUAACGGAGGAGCACGAAGGUUGGCUAAUCCUGGUCGGACAUCAGGAGGUUAGUGCAAUGGCAUAAGCCAGCUUGACUGCGAGCGUGACGGCGCGAGCAGGUGCGAAAGCAGGUCAUAGUGAUCCGGUGGUUCUGAAUGGAAGGGCCAUCGCUCAACGGAUAAAAGGUACUCCGGGGAUAACAGGCUGAUACCGCCCAAGAGUUCAUAUCGACGGCGGUGUUUGGCACCUCGAUGUCGGCUCAUCACAUCCUGGGGCUGAAGUAGGUCCCAAGGGUAUGGCUGUUCGCCAUUUAAAGUGGUACGCGAGCUGGGUUUAGAACGUCGUGAGACAGUUCGGUCCCUAUCUGCCGUGGGCGCUGGAGAACUGAGGGGGGCUGCUCCUAGUACGAGAGGACCGGAGUGGACGCAUCACUGGUGUUCGGGUUGUCAUGCCAAUGGCACUGCCCGGUAGCUAAAUGCGGAAGAGAUAAGUGCUGAAAGCAUCUAAGCACGAAACUUGCCCCGA
rnacentral:rRNA from 1 species